AAUGAACGCUGGCGGCAGGCCUAACACAUGCAAGUCGAACGGAUCCUUCGGGAUUAGUGGCGGACGGGUGAGUAACGCGUGGGAACAUACCCAAAGGUACGGAAUAGCCUCGGGAAACUGGGAGUAAUACCGUAUGUGCUCGAAAGAGGAAAGAUUUAUCGCCUUUGGAUUGGCCCGCGUUGGAUUAGGUAGUUGGUGGGGUAAUGGCCUACCAAGCCGACGAUCCAUAGCUGGUUUGAGAGGAUGAUCAGCCACACUGGGACUGAGACACGGCCCAGACUCCUACGGGAGGCAGCAGUGGGGAAUCUUAGACAAUGGGGGGAAGCCCUGAUCUAGCCAUGCCGCGUGAUCGAUGAAGGCCUUAGGGUUGUAAAGAUCUUUCAGGUGGGAAGAUAAUGACUGUACCACCAGAAGAAGCCCCGGCUAACUCCGUGCCAGCAGCCGCGGUAA
rnacentral:rRNA from 1 species